rnacentral:tRNA from 1 species
AUGGGUGUGCUGAAAUUGGUAUACAGGUUCCGCUUAGGACGGAGUGGUUUAAAUACUAUGCAAGUUCGAGUCUUGUCACCUAUA